rnacentral:rRNA from 1 species
AUUGAACGCUGGCGGCAGGCCUAACACAUGCAAGUCGAGCGGAUGAAGGGAGCUUGCUCCUGGAUUCAGCGGCGGACGGGUGAGUAAUGCCUAGGAAUCUGCCUGGUAGUGGGGGAUAACGUCCGGAAACGGGCGCUAAUACCGCAUACGUCCUGAGGGAGAAAGUGGGGGAUCUUCGGACCUCACGCUAUCAGAUGAGCCUAGGUCGGAUUAGCUAGUUGGUGGGGUAAAGGCCUACCAAGGCGACGAUCCGUAACUGGUCUGAGAGGAUGAUCAGUCACACUGGAACUGAGACACGGUCCAGACUCCUACGGGAGGCAGCAGUGGGGAAUAUUGGACAAUGGGCGAAAGCCUGAUCCAGCCAUGCCGCGUGUGUGAAGAAGGUCUUCGGAUUGUAAAGCACUUUAAGUUGGGAGGAAGGGCAGUAAGUCAAUACCUUGCUGUUUUGACGUUACCAACAGAAUAAGCAUCGGCUAACUUCGUG